GGCCCCUGCCCUGCCUGCCCUGUACUCUCGGUUGUGCGCAGACCCUCGCCGCCCUCGUCACGCCCCAGGCUGACCCCGGGAGAGCAGCGGCUGUCCGAGGAAAGGGGCCGUCUGACAGACCCCACCGUCGCGGGGGUGCUGGGUCCCCGCAACGUCUUUGUGCCCACCGCCCACGGGGACCCGCGGGACUGUCCUCCCGGUGAGGCCACAGGGACCCACGGACUGUCUUCCUACUGAGGCCCCUGUGGGUCCAAGCGGGUCACCGGCCCCUCCCUCCAGCAGAUGCCACAACAUAUCUGCUGUGUGUGACACAGCCUGGCAGGUGCUUUCCGGAAAUGGUUCAUUCACAACCAUUUGGCUGGCCUGGCACGUCCUGGGAUGCACGUGCACAUUUACAGGGAGAGGCAGGUGCCGCCAGAAGCCACCAGCAGGAAUCAGGAAACACUCCCCUGGUUCUUGUCUCCCUGUAAUAAGUCACAGCCCUCGUGAAGGAGCCAGACCCGGGCCUCAGGCUCGCCCCUUCAUGUCUGUUUGCAGGCCCCCAGGAACCAGACAACCUUCCGUCUUCUCUGGUGCUGGCUGCUCAGUGGCCCGGCGCACGGCCUCCUCUGACGGUGACAAUUACAGGUCUGAGUCACUGAGGGCGGAACACGAUGUCUAUAGGGCUCCCACUGGCUGGGGCUGUCCACCCUCACCCCUGAGGGAAGCUGGUGCGGGGACCUCGUGCUCACACCUGAGCCUUCUGGCAAACCUGGCCGUCAGGAGCCUACCAGCCAGACCGGCCGCACCAGGGUCUGACCUGAGCCAAAGCGGUGCUCGGCCAUGACUCUGGAGUUGGGGGUCACAUGUCUCCACCAGGAGUACGGCCGGACCUUCAUUUCGGCACACCGGCCAAGAGGGCCGUCUGCUCUUUUCUGCCAAUAAACAUUACCCGUGGAAGUCACUUAGCUCUGACUCCCAGGCGUCCGGGAGCCAAAUUCUUGCUAUUACACAGCCUACUGAUAGGAGAUAACAAAGCGGUACGUGCUGGAGUUUACAGAUAGCAGGAAAACAGAGAUUGCUCUUGGGGCAGUUACUACUUGUAGAAAGCAAUACUACCCACAUAUAUAACGCUUUUGUUCAUAACGCAUGCUUUAUAAACAUUAUUUUACUGGAGUAUGUGCUCAAAGAAGAUUAAAGUAAAUAAACAAACA